GAUCUUCGUGAAUCGUAUCUGCAAUCUUUGAUCUACUAAACACUGGUUCGCCAAAGCCCACCGAUGCCUGCGAUGCGGAUAAAUGUGCUGGUUUCAUUGUCGAAGGUGAGGCCUUGGUGUCGUCGCUGUCUUUGGGUGGAGCUGCCGUGGAUGCUGAUAAAUCAAAGGCGAUCGGCACUGCACUACGUU